GGAGAGGAAAGUGGANUUCCUAGUGUAGCGGUGAAAUGCGUAGAUAUUAGGAAGAACACCAGUGGCGAAGGCGACUUUCUGGACGAAAACUGACGNUGAGGCGCGAAAGCCAGGGGAGCGAACGGGAUUAGAUACCCCGGUAGUCCUGNCCGUAAACGAUGGGUACUAGGUGUAGGAGGUAUCGACCCCUUCUGUGCCGGAGUUAACGCAAUAAGUACCCCGCCUGGGGAGUACGACCGCAAGGUUGAAACUCAAAGGAAUUGACGGGGGCCCGCACAAGCGGUGGAGUAUGUGGUUUAAUUCGACGCAACGCGAAGAACCUUACCAGGUCUUGACAUUGAUGGACAGAACCAGAGAUGGUUCCUCUUCUUCGGAAGCCAGAAAACAGGUGGUGCACGGUUGUCGUCAGCUCGUGUCGUGAGAUGUUGGGUUAAGUCCCGCAACGAGCGCAACCCCUAUCUUAUGUUGCCAGCACUUUGGGUGGGGACUCAUGAGAGACUGCCGCAGACAAUGCGGAGGAAGGCGGGGAUGACGUCAAAUCAUCAUGCCCCUUAUGACCUGGGCUACACACGUACUACAAUGGGAGUUAAUAGACGGAAGCGAGAUCGCGAGAUGGAGCAAACCCGAGAAACACUCUCUCAGUUCGGAUCGUAGGCUGCAACUCGCCUACGUGAAGUCGGAAUCGCUAGUAAUCGCAGGUCAGCAUACUGCGGUGAAUACGUUCCCGGGCCUUGUACACACCGCCCGUCACACCACGAAAGUCGGAAGUGCCCAAAGCCGGUGGGGUAACCUUCGGGAGCCAGCCG
rnacentral:rRNA from 1 species